rnacentral:lncRNA from 1 species
GAUGCAUUCUUCCAUCCUCUAGGUCAUUACACAUGCUCAUUUGAAGGUUGAGUUAUCAAUAUCAAUUAUUGUUGCCUAUGGGCGUCUAAUCAGGUUUGCAAGGUAGUGUUAUUUCUCUUUUUUUGUGAUUCUGCAUAUGGCAUAUGAUGAUAUGGUCGGUUUAUAUCUUAAAUUCCAUAAGAACGACCACAUGUUAUGAUAGUAUAUACGAUUCUUAUAUCAGUUCUGCUGUGUUCUCUAUUAUUUGGCUAAUGUAACAAGCUAUUGUUGUGUACAAACAUUUGUAAAGUAGACGUUCUUCAGGGCGUGUGUAUGUUCCUUACUUGCCAUGGGUAUAUAUCUGAAUCGUCAUUGCAUUUAAUUGCUGGAAAUAUUGGUCCCAUUCGACAUAAUCGGUCUAAACCCAAUCUAUUUUCCUAAUACUUAUUGUAGAAUUAACCCAUGAUCUAUAGCUUGAGAAGGGUAUAUUUAAUCUUUAUGAUGUCCACCAGUAUUAGUUCCCCAUCUUACAUCUAAAGAAGUGGCAAGCAUAGAGACAUUAUACGCCAUCCUUAAUUAUUUAAAAGUGCAGAAUCCCAUGUACAAGUUUCCAUUCAUUUCUCUUCGAUGAGUAAAUUCUACUUCAAGAAAAAUUUGGCCAAUGGAAGGUGUGUAAAUCCCAGGCAUACCUAUGUUUGUAAAUCCCAGGCACGGUGUUGCUGUCCUGGAUGCAAAGCUGGAGUGGCUCUGUAUCCUUGGGAUCAGAUUGUUCCUACUCGGAGUCGACGACUUUAAGGCGAGGAAGUGAAUAGAAAUUCCUUGUCAGCUAUGGCACACAUACGGAUAAUUAUUGCAUUUUUUAUUUAACUCAGUUGAUAUUCAUUGAUUCGUCUUUUUACUAGCUUCUUUGGAGGAUUAUUUAUCUCAGGCUCAUAGUGAGCAUAUCCAGGAUUAUUUAUCUAUUUGUUUUCUUUGGAGGUCAUGAUGCUGCUAGCGAUCGACGUUCGCUUGGAAAAAAUGUGUGCCAUCCUAUAUGGAUUAUUUAUCUAUUUGUUUUCUUUGUUGGUUCAGUUCGCAUAUCUGAUUGUGUGCAGAUGCCCUUCAUGGCCAUGGUAGAGGUUUUAGGUUCCAGCAUUUCUGUAAAAAUACAAAGACUUAUAAGCUAGAGCCAGCUUCGGUAUGAGUAAACAUUUAUAUGGUAUAAGGUGGAGGUUCUUUUCAUGCACCAAAAACUGUAGAUCAUUCUGUUUAAUUUCAAUUUAGCCUUGCAUCUACCAAUGGAUCUAUGGAUGUAUGAUAACUUAUGACAUAUAUAUCACAAUAUUAUUCUUCAUCAUUUGUACAUAUUGCUCCAUUCGAAAAUUCUUCAAAAAAAAGGGCCAUAUGCCUAUGGAAGCUACAUUGCAUCAAUGUUCUUGUUUACAAGGAUUUUCAGAAGUCAUUCUAUUGUUAUCUGAAAUAUGGAUAGUAUAAGUGAUUCUCUCCCUUUUUCUUCUAAUAAAUUUGGUUAGGAUGCAAUAGUUGUGAGGGAAUCAGGUUGAAAGUUACUCCCUUGUGUAGCUAUAGGCAUUUCCUUCCUGGUGCUUUUGUAUGUAAUUGUUUCUUUUUCAAAUUUUUACAGGGGAUCACGUGGUCAUGCACUCUUAAGAGGUAAUUAUAUUGCUACGUUUACCUGUUCCGGUAUUUGGUGUUUGCUUUGUGUGACAUCUUGUUGAUUCCAUGUACUGAUGUUGUUGCUACUAUUGUUGGAUGCCUCUUGCCAGGAUUAGUGCGGCGUGCGGCGGACUGUGUUCUGCAAGGGCUCUUGACUCAAGACUGAUUCAGACAAAUUGGUAACUGAUUAGUUUACCCUUGAUGCACUAGCUUUCUUCACAACAUAGUCAUUGACGACCACAACUACAAUGCUCUAAAGACAAUGUACAAGAAAUGCUCCGCUGCACAAAAAUGGAGGAAGAACAAAGAAGAGAAUUAGGUGUUUUGUCCUCUAUUUCAAGAUAUUUUCCCAGUCCGUCGAGGGCCAAGAGAUUCAUCCCGCAACAAGUUGAACAUGGUCUACACGGGAAACAAACCACCAAUAAAUAUAAGAGCAGAAGAACUAGCUUCAUCUCUCUACGACUCUACCACUACAUCGAGACGAACCAAGCUGGAGUAUCAACAUCUCGGGUCUAAGAAGAGAACAAGAGUUCUGCAAUUAUGUAUCCAGUAGCUAUUGUCACCACCUAAUGUAGAUCACUUAUGCAUUCUCUACCACUACAUCACAGAGACAAACCAAGCUAGAGUAUCAACAUCUCGGGUCUAAGAAGAGAACAAAAGCCUACUGUAGAUCGCUUAUGCAUGUACCAACUAGAUGUAUCCUUUCCUUGCAAUGAAUCAAGUCUGAUCACUUAU